rnacentral:rRNA from 1 species
UACGAAGGACCCAAGCGUUAUCCGGAUUUAUUGGGUUUAAAGGGUGCGUAGGCGGGUUAUUAAGUCAGUGGUGAAAGCUCCGAGCCCAACUCGGAAAUUGCCAUUGAUACUGAUGAUCUUGAGUACAUUUGAGGUGGGCGGAAUGUGUCAUGUAGCGGUGAAAUGCUUAGAGAUGACACAGAACACCGAUUGCGAAGGCAGCUCACUAAACUGUAACUGACGCUGAGGCACGAAAGCGUGGGGAGCAAACAGG